rnacentral:rRNA from 1 species
UACGGGGGGGGUAAGCGUUGUUCGGAAUUACUGGGCGUAAAGGGCUCGUAGGCGGCCAACUAAGUCAGACGUGAAAUCCCUCAGCUUAACUGGGGGAACUGCGUCUGAUACUGGAUGGCUUGGAUUCGGGAGAGGAAUGCGGAAUUCCGAGGUGUAGCGGUGAAAUGCGUAGAUAUCUGGAGGAACACCGGUGGCGAAGGCGGCAUUCUGGACCGACAUUGACGCUGAGGAGCGAAAGCCAGGGGAGCAAACGGG